rnacentral:sRNA from 1 species
ACGUACUACGUGUACGCUCCGGUUCUUCCGCGCUGUCCGUGUCCAAACUGCCUGCAACAAUUACACC